rnacentral:antisense_RNA from 1 species
CGGGCAGCCUUGCCUAAAUUUCUCUCAAGCCAAGCUGUUUGACUGUGUGCACGUGUAUGAACACAGGUGUACAGGUGUGCAUGUGUAUGGGUCAGGUGUAUGGGUCACAGGUGUACAGAUGGAAGCCUAUUUGUAUGUGGCUGUGAGGUGUGUGUGAACCGCUCCCCGCCGCCCCCACUCCCCAAAGCAGCGGCUCUUAAAUUUUGGGGUCCUGGAGCAUCCAAUGAAGAUUUAGGGUCCUGCAGUUGAGUACGAAGUUCGUAUUCCAUUUAAAAAGGCUCUGGAAUCAGCUGUGGACCCCUUGAACAUUCUUCUGGCUGUCCUUCCCAGCUUUGGUGGGAGUUGGCUCUGACUAGAUCUGUCAGGCCUCUGUGAAGUCUUCCUGACUGAGUCUGUCUCUAUGAGCAGAGUGGGGCCAAGAAGCCACCGCAACCCCCAACCCCGGGCAGCCUAGCCGCCCUGGCCCUGCCCACGCAGCCGGCCCUGAGGCAUGCUGAGAUCCCAGUCUGCAUCAGGGCUGCCCAUCUGCAUUGGUGCUCAUCACCUUGACAUGAAUAGGCCCCACGUUCUUUUCCAGGAUGGCAGAGCCUUCAGAACCAUCAACUCCUACCCCUCCACGGUGCAGAGGCCCAGAGAGGGACAGAGACCUGCCCAGCAUCACAGCAAUGAAGUGAACAACGAAGAUUCAAAACCACAUUUGCUGUCUCCUCAUUCCAGGAGGAGAUUCUAGAUGAGCCCCAUUACAGGAGUGCAUUUGCACCAGCACCUGCCAAGGGACUCCAUCCCCAUGAUGCAGAUGGCUCGGGACCUUCUUCCUUUCCAGGCUGUCCCUUCCUCUUGGGUCCCUGAGAGGGCAGUCCUGGUGAGGGCAGGAGAGGACAGCAUGGCUAAGGAGCUUGGGGACAAGACGUCCUCUUAAGAACUGCUUUCCAGCACAUGUUGUCCCACCUUCUGAAACUCAAGGAGAUGGUUAAAAGAGAAAAGCCUUGCUCCAGACCCACCUGCAGCAUUAAGAACCGUGGGUUGGGCUGGGCACAGUGGCUCACGCCUGUAAUCCUAGCACUUUGGGAGGCCGAGGUGGGCGGA